GAUGAACGCUGGCGGCGUGCCUAAUACAUGCAAGUCGAGCGAACAGACGAGGAGCUUGCUCCUCUGACGUUAGCGGCGGACGGGUGAGUAACACGUGGAUAACCUACCUAUAAGACUGGGAUAACUUCGGGAAACCGGAGCUAAUACCGGAUAAUAUAUUGAACCGCAUGGUUCAAUAGUGAAAGACGGUUUUGCUGUCACUUAUAGAUGGAUCCGCGCCGCAUUAGCUAGUUGGUAAGGUAACGGCUUACCAAGGCAACGAUGCGUAGCCGACCUGAGAGGGUGAUCGGCCACACUGGAACUGAGACACGGUCCAGACUCCUACGGGAGGCAGCAGUAGGGAAUCUUCCGCAAUGGGCGAAAGCUUGACGGAGCAACGCCGCGUGAGUGAUGAAGGUCUUCGGAUCGUAAAACUCUGUUAUUAGGGAAGAACAAAUGUGUAAGUAACUAUGCACGUCUUGACGGUACCUAAUCAGAAAGCCACGGCUAACUACGU
rnacentral:rRNA from 1 species